UAUUCACACAACAUAAGAGCUGCACAAGGAGUGGAGAGGGGAGCAAGGAGUAGUGGCAGGGGCAGGACAUCCGUCCACCAAACCAAGAGGAAUCACCGAGAGCUGAGGCUAUCUCCGCGAGUUAAGGGUGGAGUAAGGAAAAUCCAAGUUUAGGAGUUUUAAGCAAACGAGGUUGAGCAGUGAUGACGGCGGGCGGUGUUGAGCAUAGAUGAUGAAGAUCAUUCGAUAGAAUAGUACUCGGAUGCGACGUGUCUCCAUACACGACGUUAUCUGCUCUUGACUCUUCCGCUGCAAUGUAAAAGUCGAGUUUGUGCUCUUUGUAUCGUGCACUCUGAUAUAUAUUAUUUGAGUUAUUUCGGUUCGGUUUCAGUUGUGCCACAGUUUUACCCUUUCUUCCCAACUUCUUUCAUCCUCCCCUAGUCGCGAUCAACCGGGCUUUCUAUCCUAAAAAAAGUGCGGUCGUGACAAAAAUACUUACAUCUGGGGAUGAAAUACAUUUUUAAUUAAAUCAAAAUAUUACAUUCUAAUGAAUUAUUGAUAUUCAUGAACACGCUUGUCAAUGAAAUUAUGGAAUUCGACAUUGUAGAGUUUGAAGUCUUACAGUUAAUAUGUAAAUUUAUUUAUUUAGGGUAAUUAUAAUUAAUUUGUAUUUUUGAUUGGGA